UUUUGGUACAAACUUUAUUUCAUUCAAUGUCAUUUCAGUCAACAUGAGCCACAAACAUUACAAUUAAUAAAUCAUUCAGUUAAUGUUAUUAUUGCAUCUAUGCUAAUAAGCAAAAAAAGUUUGUGAGGGCUAUUCCAUUUAAUUGUAUGUGGGAGGGUAGGUAGGGACUUUCAAAAUAUCCCUACAACCAAGAACAAUUUUUUAGAUAAUUCUUCAUAAUGCUAAUAGACGCAUACUGAAUAACGACCCAUGACCCAGUUCAAUAAUUAAACUUCCCUCCCUGAUACAUUUUAAUGGAAUAACCCUCACAAAGAACAUACAACCUUUAAAAAAAAAAAAAAUCAUUUUAUACGUGUGAUAUUGUUAUGAAGACAUACAAUUAAAAUGUUUUACUAAUAUAUUUCAAUUUUUUUUCAACAUUUGAUGUAUUUGUGACAUCAUCAAUGUAGGUGGAUUUUGUGAAAACAUUAUUUUUUUCAUAAUUUGGCUAAAGAGCUAGGGCCAUUUUCCCUAGAGUUCUUUUCAUUGGAUAAGAUAGGUAAAUCAUGUUUUAAAUAACCCAAUAGAUGCUAAUCAUAGUACUUGAAAAUAGGUCACAUCAUCUAUUUUCAUACCUUGAACAGGUAUUCCUACACAAAACAAGGCCAAGACUAUUGAUUUUUUUUAUAUUGAUUUUGUUUAAUUGUUAACACCCUUUAUGCCCAUAUGGUACCAUACCACAUGACUUGUCAAGAAGCCAAAUAAUAUAGAACAAAUUCAAAUGGGAUGCUGUUUUUCUCAUUCUGAAUAUAUGUAUAUCUGUAUUUGUCCUGCUCUUUAAGGUUUUAUUGGCUAUAAGACAAGAUAAGAUAUAUUUUAACUGGACAACAUCUUACUUAAAUACAUUAGUUGGCCAUUGAACACCUUGUGUUACAAACUCAUGUAAUAUGGCCUUGUAUGGCAUUUUAACAAACGGGCUCUUUGUUGUAUUACAGAUGCAACAGCUUCUUGAUGUUUUACCUACAAUCAUGAUUUGUAGUGUAAUUAAUUUGUUCUGUGGUGUUGUUUUAUUUUCUGAUGACUUAGGUACCAGUGCAGGAACAGUGGUAAAAGCGUCUACACAGUUGGUAAAUUGGCAACAAAAUUGCUGUUAACUGCAUUUGUCACAUAUACAAAUGUAAUACCAUGUUUAAAAAAGGUUUCGAAAAAUUGUUUGCGUUAUUUUCAAACUUUUUUACAAUUAGUCCAGUCAAACUAAGAUUUAGCCCCAAACUAAUUGCAACAGAAAAUGUUUUAGUUCUAAUCUAUAGCAUUAUGCCCUUAAUAUACACAGAAAAAAGUCCCAUAAAAUCUAACUUGAGGAAAACUCAAAAUCAGCAUUUCUAAUUUCCUAUGGAAAUUAAAAUUUGGAAGGGGGAGAUAACUCCGCAAAAAUGUCUUUUUUGGUCAGUUUUUGGUUGAUUUUCUUGAAAUUUAUGUAAAGUAUGAAACUUUGAUGGGUUAUAAGUUGGUUUUUUGACUAAAUCAUAUAAUCUUCUGCUCAUGAAAUGUACAAAACCAAAGUGUUGUGGGUAGUUUUAUUUUUGUGUGCAUUUUUCAUUGAAGAAAUUGCAAAUUAGAAGCUUUGUGACCAUUUUGAAAAAAAUAAUGUAAAAAUUUGAU
rnacentral:lncRNA from 1 species